rnacentral:tRNA from 1 species
GCCGGGGUGGCGGAACUGGUAGACGCACAGGACUUAAAAUCCUGCGGUCCGUAAGGUCCAUGUCGGUUCGAUUCCGAUCCCCGGCA